rnacentral:rRNA from 1 species
UGGGGAAUCUUGGACAAUGGGGGAAACCCUGAUCCAGCCAUGCCGCGUGAGUGAUGAAGGCCCUAGGGUCGUAAAGCUCUUUCGCCAGGGAUGAUAAUGACAGUACCUGGUAAAGAAACCCCGGCUAACUCCGUGCCAGCAGCCGCGGUAAUACGGAGGGGGUUAGCGUUGUUCGGAAUUACUGGGCGUAAAGCGCGCGUAGGCGGACUGAAAAGUUGGGGGUGAAAUCCCGGGGCUCAACCCCGGAACUGCCUCCAAAACUAGCAGUCUAGAGUUCGAGAGAGGUGAGUGGAAUUCCGAGUGUAGAGGUGAAAUUCGUAGAUAUUCGGAGGAACACCAGUGGCGAAGGCGGCUCACUGGCUCGAUACUGACGCUGAGGUGCGAAAGUGUGGGGAGCAAACAGGAUUAGAUACCCGCGUAGUCC